rnacentral:snoRNA from 1 species
GAAUAUGAUGAUAGUAAUUUUGUCGCCCCAGUCUUAAUCUGCAUCUACUUGUAGAUGUAAUGUGGUGAUUGACGUUUUUAUCUGAUUC